UGGGGAAUAUUGGACAAUGGGCGAAAGCCUGACCCAGCAACGCCGCGUGAAGGAUGAAGUAUUUCGGUAUGUAAACUUCGAAAGAAUAGGAAGAAUAAAUGACGGUACUAUUUAUAAGGUCCGGCUAACUACGUGCCAGCAGCCGCGGUAAUACGUAGGGACCAAGCGUUGUUCGGAUUUACUGGGCGUAAAGGGCGCGUAGGCGGCAAUUCAAGUCAUCUGUGAAAUCUCCGGGCUUAACUCGGAACGGUCAGAUGAUACUGCUUUGCUAGAGUGCAGAAGGGGCAAUCGGAAUUCUUGGUGUAGCGGUGAAAUGCGUAGAUAUCAAGAGGAACACCUGAGGUGAAGACGGGUUGCUGGGCUGACACUGACGCUGAGGCGCGAAAGCCAGGGGAGCAAACGGGAUUAGAUACCCAAGUAGUCCCUGAGCGGGCUGGCAAGGCGCAU
rnacentral:rRNA from 1 species